GACGAACGCUGGCGGCGUGCUUAACACAUGCAAGUCGAACGGAAAGGCCCUGCUUUUGUGGGGUGCUCGAGUGGCGAACGGGUGAGUAACACGUGAGUAACCUGCCCUUGACUUUGGGAUAACUUCAGGAAACUGGGGCUAAUACCGGAUAGGAGCUCCUGCUGCAUGGUGGGGGUUGGAAAGUUUCGGCGGUUGGGGAUGGACUCGCGGCUUAUCAGCUGGUUGGGGGGGUAGUGGCUUACCCAGGCUUUGACGGGUAGCCGGCCUGGGAGGGUGACCGGCCACAAUGGGCCUGAGAGAGGGCGCAGACUCCUACGGGAGGCAGCAGUGGGGAAUCUUGCACAACGGGGGGAAGUGUGAUGCAGCAACGCCGCGUGCGGGAACACGGCUUUCGGGUUGUAAACCGCUUUCGCCUGUGACGAAGCGUGAGUGACGGUAAUGGGUAAAGAAGCACCGGCUAACUACGUG
rnacentral:rRNA from 1 species